rnacentral:rRNA from 1 species
UACUAGGGGUGCGAGCGUUGUCCGGAGUCACUGGGCGUAAAGGGUCCGUAGGCGGCUAUUUAAGUCAGACGUGUAAGCCCACGGCUCAACCGUGGAAUUGCGUUUGAAACUAUUUAGCUUGAGUACAGGAGAGGAAGGCGGAAUUCCCAGUGUAGCGGUGAAAUGCAUUGAUAUUGGGAAGAACACCGGUGGCGAAGGCGGCCUUCUGGUCUGAUACUGACGCUGAGAUACGAAAGCCAGGGGAGCGAACGGG